rnacentral:rRNA from 1 species
CCUACGGGAGGCAGCAGUGAGGAAUAUUGGUCAAUGGGCGUAAGUCUGAACCAGCCAAGUCGCGUGAAGGAUGAAUGCCCUAUGGGUUGUAAACUUCUUUUAUAUGGGAAUAAAACGUUCCACGUGUGGGGUUUUGUAUGUACCAUAUGAAUAAGGAUCGGCUAACUCCGUGCCAGCAGCCGCGGUAAUACGGAGGAUCCGAGCGUUAUCCGGAUUUAUUGGGUUUAAAGGGAGCGUAGAUGGGUUGUUAAGUCAGUUGUGAAAGUUUGUGGCUCAACCGUAAAAUUGCAAUUGAUACUGGCAGUCUUGAGUACAUUUGAGGUAGGCGGAAUGCGUGGUGUAGCGGUGAAAUGCUUAGAUAUCACGAAGAACCCCGAUUGUGAAGGCAGCUUACUAAGCCGUGACUGACAUUGAUGCUCGAAAGCGUGGGGAUCAAACAGGAUUAGAUACCCGUGUAGUC